rnacentral:rRNA from 1 species
UACAGAGGGGGCAAGCGUUAUUCGGAAUUAUUGGGCGUAAAGGGCGCGUAGGCGGCUUUGCAAGUGACGGGUGAAAUCCCUCGGCUUAACCGAGGAACUGCCUGUCAAACUGCAUGGCUUAAGACCGGGAGAGGUGAGUGGAAUUCCCAGUGUAGCGGUGAAAUGCGUAGAUAUUGGGAGGAACACCAGUGGCGAAGGCGGCUCACUGGACCGGUACUGACGCUGAUGCGCGAAAGCGUGGGGAGCAAACAGG